AAACACAAGAAACCAAC
rnacentral:sRNA from 1 species